GAUGAACGCUGGCGGCGUGCCUAAUACAUGCAAGUCGAGCGAGCAGACGAGGAGCUUGCUCCUCUGACGUUAGCAGCGGACGGGUGAGUAACACGUGGAUAACCUACCUAUAAGACUGGGAUAACUUCGGGAAACCGGAGCUAAUACCGGAUAAUAUAUUGAACCGCAUGGUUCAAUAGUGAAAGACGGUUUUGCUGUCACUUAUAGAUGGAUCCGCGCCGCAUUAGCUAGUUGGUAAGGUAACGGCUUACCAAGGCGACGAUGCGUAGCCGACCUGAGAGGGUGAUCGGCCACACUGGAACUGAGACACGGUCCAGACUCCUACGGGAGGCAGCAGUAGGGAAUCUUCCGCAAAGGGCGAAAGCCUGACGGAGCAACGCCGCGUGAGUGAUGAAGGUCUUCGGAUCGUAAAACUCUGUUAUUAGGGAAGAACAAAUGUGUAAGUAACUAUGCACGUCUUGACGGUACCUAAUCAGAAAGCCACGGCUAACUACGUG
rnacentral:rRNA from 1 species